rnacentral:misc_RNA from 1 species
AUUGAUGGUUGUCUAUGGUCGGCUUUUCCCCCUAAUUCAGUGGCUCAUUCGUAUAACAUAAACGUCCAUGAUGAAUUCCAAGCAAAUAUUGUUGUUCUCUACGUAUAAAAUGGACCAAACAACGUUCUUUCAAUGCAGAACAAUUCUCGAAUCACUUGGCCUUCAGAGGGAUUUUUCCAGUGACCAUCCUUUAAUUAGAAGUUUUUCACAACGGUAUAUCCAUGUAGCUAUGCUUGUGAAAAUCCUUGUAGACAGUUGUUUUGGAUUCCUGUUCUCAAACAAGCGAUU